CAGCUGUGUGGUUUUCUGCAGAGUCCACUCUGUGGUCUGCAGACUCUGAGGUUGGAGGACUGCAGGUUGUCAGAGAUCAGCUGUUCUUCUCUGGCUUCAGCUCUGAAGUCCAACCCCUCCCACCUGAAGGAGCUAGACCUGGGUUGGAACUGGCUGCGGUCUCCAGAUGUGCAGCAGCUGGUUGCUCUCCAGGAGAGUCCAGACUGCAGCCUGCAGACUCUGAGGUGGAGCUGAGAGCAGAGAGGAGGCUGUGAGUCCUGAAGAUCUACUGAGAGCAGAGCUU